rnacentral:rRNA from 1 species
GCUACGGGGGGCAGCAGUGAGGAAUAUUGGUCAAUGGGCGCGAGCCUGAACCAGCCAAGUAGCGUGAAGGAUGACUGCCCUACGGGUUGUAAACUUCUUUUAUAAAGGAAUAAAGUGAGGCACGUGUGCCUUUUUGUAUGUACUUUAUGAAUAAGGAUCGGCUAACUCCGUGCCAGCAGCCGCGGUAAUACGGAGGAUCCGAGCGUUAUCCGGAUUUAUUGGGUUUAAAGGGAGCGUAGAUGGGUUGUUAAGUCAGUUGUGAAAGUUUGCGGCUCAACCGUAAAAUUGCAAUUGUUACUGGCAGCCUUGAUUACAGUUGAGGUAGGCUGACUUCGUGGUGUAGCGGUGAAAUGCUUAGAUAUCACGAAGAACUCCGAUUGCGAUGGCGGCCUACUAAACUGCCCCUGACAUUGAUGCUCGAAAGUGUGGGUAUCAAACAGGAUUAGAUACCCGGGUAGUC